UACGUAGGGUGCAAGCGUUAAUCGGAAUUACUGGGCGUAAAGCGUGCGCAGGCGGUUUUGUAAGUCUGUCGUGAAAGCCCCGGGCUCAACCUGGGAAUUGCGAUGGAGACUGCAAGGCUUGAAUCUGGCAGAGGGGGGUAGAAUUCCACGUGUAGCAGUGAAAUGCGUAGAGAUGUGGAGGAACACCGAUGGCGAAGGCAGCCCCCUGGGUCAAGAUUGACGCUCAUGCACGAAAGAGUGGGGAGCAAACAGG
rnacentral:rRNA from 1 species